CCCUUAGAUGUUCUGGGCCGCACGCGUGCUACACUGAUGCAUUCAACGAGUCUAAAACCUGGUCUGAUAGGGCUGGGUAAUCUUUUGAAAGUGCAUCGUGAUUGGGAUAGAUGAUUGCAAUUCUUCAUCUUCAACGAGGAAUGCCUAGUAAACGCAAGUCAUCAGCUUGCAUUAAUUACGUCCCUGCCCUUUGUACACACCGCCCGUCGCUCCUACCGAUUGAGUGGUCCGGUGAGGCUUUGGGAUCUGAGCGGAAAGAGCGUUUCGCUCGUUCUGCCCGGAAAACUCAGUCGAACCUUAUCAUUUAGAGGAAGGAGAAGUCGUAACA
rnacentral:rRNA from 1 species